GUUUCUCUUUAACUGUUCUUGACUCUUCGAGGGAACCAGACAGAAAAAGUGAUCUCGCUUCUCAGUCGUGCUCCUUCGUGAGGCCGUCGGUGGCGUCAGCAAGUGAUGGGGAAAGAAAAAUCUGAAGUCACACACAGCACAUCCACAGCGAGCAAUGGGGAGAAGACAAGUGGACGCUCAAAGCGCAGCCGGCCUUCCCAAAACAUCGUUUACUUCUUACUGAAUAGGCAACUGGGGAGGCCCAGAGGUGAUGGGAGCCUGUCGAAAUGGGUGGCUGCUGUACUGAGCCACGCUGUGGUGGGCUUGAUCCUUUCCAGCAAUGCUGGGGUCUUCCCUGAUCACACCACCCACACAUGUUGAAAAUGCAAAAGAAAUUUAGAUUUAAAAUAACAAACACCUCUCUUGUGUCAGCUAUAGAAAUAAAAGCUGCAUUUUCUCUCCUUUCAA